UGGAGGAUGAGCCCAGGAUCCAUGUGGCAGC
rnacentral:piRNA from 1 species